AGGUGCUUGCACCUGAUGGCGAGUGGCGAACGGGUGAGUAAUGCAUCGGAACGUGCCCAGUCGUGGGGGAUAACGCAGCGAAAGCUGUGCUAAUACCGCAUACGAUCUAUGGAUGAAAGCGGGGGACCUUCGGGCCUCGCGCGAUUGGAGCGGCCGAUGUUAGAUUAGGUAGUUGGUGGGGUAAAGGCUCACCAAGCCGACGAUCUAUAGCUGGUCUGAGAGGACGACCAGCCACACUGGAACUGAGACACGGUCCAGACUCCUACGGGAGGCAGCAGUGGGGAAUUUUGGACAAUGGGCGAAAGCCUGAUCCAGCAAUACCGCGUGCAGGAAGAAGGCCCUCGGGUUGUAAACUGCUUUUGUACGGAACGAAACGGCGCGCUCUAAUAAAGUGCGCUAAUGACGGUACCGUAAGAAUAAGCACCGGCUAACUACGUGCCAGCAGCCGCGGUAAUACGUAGGGUGCGAGCGUUAAUCGGAAUUACUGGGCGUAAAGCGUGCGCAGGCGGUUUUGUAAGACAGGCGUGAAAUCCCCGGGCUUAACCUGGGAAUUGCGCUUGUGACUGCAAGGCUAGAGUACGGUAGAGGGGGGUAGAAUUCCGCGUGUAGCAGUGAAAUGCGUAGAUAUGCGGAGGAACACCGAUGGCGAAGGCAGCCCCCUGGACCUGUACUGACGCUCAUGCACGAAAGCGUGGGGAGCAAACAGGAUUAGAUACCCUGGUAGUCCACGCCCUAAACGAUGUCAACUGGUUGUUGGGAAUUUACUUUCUCAGUAACGAAGCUAACGCGUGAAGUUGACC
rnacentral:rRNA from 1 species